GACGAACGCUGGCGGCGUGCUUAACACAUGCAAGUCGAACGAGAAUCUGCGGAAAGAGGAUUCGUCCAAUUGAAGCAGAGGACAGUGGCGGACGGGUGAGUAACGCGUGAGGAACCUGCCUUUCAGAGGGGGACAACAGUUGGAAACGACUGCUAAUACCGCAUGACACAUUAGGGUCGCAUGGCCUUGAUGUCAAAGAUUUAUCGCUGAAAGAUGGCCUCGCGUCUGAUUAGCUAGUUGGUGAGGUAACGGCCCACCAAGGCGACGAUCAGUAGCCGGACUGAGAGGUUGAACGGCCACAUUGGGACUGAGAUACGGCCCAGACUCCUACGGGAGGCAGCAGUGGGGAAUAUUGGGCAAUGGGCGCAAGCCUGACCCAGCAACGCCGCGUGAAGGAAGAAGGCUUUCGGGUUGUAAACUUCUUUGUCAGGGACGAGUAGAAGACGGUACCUGACGAAUAAGCCACGGCUAACUACGUGCCAGCAGCCGCGGUAA
rnacentral:rRNA from 1 species